UACGUAGGUGACCAGCGUUGUCCGGAUUUACUGGGCGUAAAGAGCGCGCAGGCGGUCGUUCAAGUCGAGUGUGAAAGCCCCCGGCUCAACUGGGGAGGGUCACUUGAUACUGAUCGACUCGAAGGCAGGAGAGGGAAGCGGAAUUCCAGGUGUAGCGGUGAAAUGCGUAGAUAUCUGGAGGAACACCAGUGGCGAAAGCGCGUGACUGGGCCACAACUGACGCUGAGGAACGAAAGCCAGGGGAGCGAAAGGG
rnacentral:rRNA from 1 species